rnacentral:rRNA from 1 species
UACGUAGGGGGCAAGCGUUGUCCGGAAUCAUUGGGCGUAAAGAGCGUGUAGGCGGCCAGAAAAGUCCGCUGUGAAAACUCGAGGCUCAACUUCGAGCUGUCGGUGGAAACUUUCUGGCUAGAGUCCGGAAGAGGAGAAUGGAAUUCCUGGUGUAGCGGUGAAAUGCGCAGAUAUCGGGAGGAACACCAAUGGCGAAGGCAGCUCGCUGGGACGUGACUGACGCUGAGACGCGAAAGCGUGGGGAGCAAACAGG